GAACGUUGUUUAUUACUGUCGGGAAUUCAUGACGUUAACGUUUAUCCGCUAACAUGCACGCGACGUCAUGUAUACUAUCGACGUCACUUUUCAUGUUGUAUAUUAAACAACUUCGUAUGAACGUCUAAUAAAAUGUCGAAACUAACGCAACUGUUUUCGUAUUUCGCAGUUUUUUAAAACCAUACGAUCAUCAUACGCAAUAAUAACGAUCUUUUAUUCUUACCUGUCAGCUGUCAAAAAGUUCGGGAAAUGUUUUGUUUCCGGUUUGGAAAUGGUACACGGAUUACUUCCCCUGAACCUCGUAUAAUCUCGCGAUAUGUUAACCGGUCCAAAUUUGGACCGGUAAAAUUAGCCUGUACCGAUCCCUAUAUAGAGAGUAUGCCAUAGAUAAGGGGAGGUAACCAAUCUACGACUGACGCGGCAUCGACUCGUUUCGCCUUGCCGCCGCGGAUCGCGAAAUACGUCUGUUCCGCAUUGGCUUUUUCACGCCCUCGAUGUCGAGACCUCUCGCUGCAAGAUCUGUUGCCAAUAGAACAUCUACCUGGGCCUCCUUGAAUCUUCGUAAUGUUUCCAGACGCUGAUGGUGUGGAAUUGAAGACAAAAUAAUGAAUGUAGUUCAAAAUAAAAGGAAACAAGAAUGCAA